AGUGUAGGUGGCUCAUUAAGUCACAUGUGAAAUCCCCGGGCUUAACCUGGGAACUGCAUGUGAUACUGGUGGUGCUAGAAUAUGUGAGAGGGAAGUAGAAUUCCAGGUGUAGCGGUGAAAUGCGUAGAGAUCUGGAGGAAUACCGAUGGCGAAGGCAGCUUCCUGGCGUAAUAUUGACACUGAGAUUACGAAGCGUGGUAGCAAACA
rnacentral:rRNA from 1 species